rnacentral:rRNA from 1 species
AACGAACGCUGGCGGCAUGCCUAACACAUGCAAGUCGAACGAGACCUUCGGGUCUAGUGGCGCACGGCUGCGUAACGCGUGGGAACCUGCCCUUAGGUUCGGUAUAACUCCCCGAAAGGGGUGCUAAUACCGGUUAAUGUCUUCGGACCAAAGAUUUAUCGCGUUUGGGUGGGCGCGCGUUAGAUUAGCUGGUUGGUAGGGUAAAAGCAUACCAAGGCGACGAUCCAUAGCUGGUCUGAGAGGAUGAUACGCCACACUGGGAAUGAGACACGGCCCAGACUCCUACGGGAGGGAGCAGUGGGGAAUAUUGGACAAUGGGCGAAAGCGUGAUCAAGCAAUGCCGCGUGAGUGAUGAAGGCCUUAGGGUUGUAAAGCUCUUUUACCCGGGAUGAUAAUGACAGUACCGGGAGAAUAAGCUCCGGCUAACUACGUG